rnacentral:rRNA from 1 species
GAGUUUGAUCUUGGCUCAGAUUGAACGCUGGCGGCAUGCCUUACACAUGCAAGUCGAGCGGCAGCGCGGGGGCAACCCUGGCGGCGAGCGGCGAACGGGUGAGUAAUGCAUCGGAACGUGUCCUCUUGUGGGGGAUAACCAGUCGAAAGACUGGCUAAUACCGCAUGAGAUCGAGAGAUGAAAGCAGGGGACCGCAAGGCCUUGCGCGAGAGGAGCGGCCGAUGCCGGAUUAGCUAGUUGGUGGGGUAAAAGCCUACCAAGGCGACGAUCCGUAGCUGGUCUGAGAGGACGACCAGCCACACUGGGACUGAGACACGGCCCAGACUCCUACGGGAGGCAGCAGUGGGGAAUUUUGGACAAUGGGGGAAACCCUGAUCCAGCCAUGCCGCGUGUGUGAAGAAGGCCUUCGGUUGUAAG